CUCGCCUAUUCCUGCGUUUACUCGUGUUUGUACUUGUUGGUUUAUUUUCUUCGCAUUUUUGUAGAGGACUAGGCAGCCGAGCUGGACCAAAGUCACCAGGGUAGUAAAGACCCGGCCCACCACCCAAAAAAUGGCCAAUUUCUUUCAAAUGCUGUAUACUGGAAAAAUCCAAAGGACUCAUCAGAUGAACAAAUUUCAAAGAGCCACUACCAGUUUAUUUUCUUAAGCAAAGCAUCAAGCCUCUGAUUUGCCGCUGAUAAAUUCUCUUGAGGGCACAGCAAGAAGGUGGCUGUCUGCAACUCGUUAGAGAGCCCUCAGCGAACCCAACCAUGCUGGCACCACCCUGAUCUCAAACUCCCAGCCUCCUGAAAUGCCAGAAAAUAAAUGUGAGUUGUUUAAGCCACCCAGUCUAAGCUAUUUUGUUAUGACAGCCCGGU